UUAACAAAAACAUUUCUUCUUAAGGAUAAGAAGUAAGGCCUGCUCACUGAAUUUUAAAGAGCCGCAGUAUUUUGACUGUGCUAAGGUAGCAUAAUCAUUAGUCUUUUAAUUGGAGACUGGUAUGAAUGGUUUAACGAGAAACCUCCUUUUUUUAUUGUAACAUUUGAAUUUAUUUUUUUAGUGAAAAAACUAAAAUGUUCUUAAAAGACGAGAAGACCCUAUAGAGUUUUAUAUGGUAAGUUUUUAUUUCAUAGUAGAUUUAAUUUGAAAUAAAAUUAUUCCGUAAUUUGUUGGGGCGACAUUAAGAUAUACAAAACUCUUUUUUUUUUAAGCUUUUAUAAAUGUAUUGUUUGAUCCUUUAAAAAAGAUAAUAAGAAAAAAUUACCUUAGGGAUAACAGCGUAAUCUUUUUUUAGAGUUCUAAUCGACAAAAAGGUUUGCGACCUCGAUGUUGGACUAAAAUUUAGGUGUGGUGCAGUAGCUUCACUUUAGGGUCUGUUCGACCCAUAAUAUUU
rnacentral:rRNA from 1 species